rnacentral:tRNA from 1 species
GGCGCGGGCAAAUCGACUCAUAAUCGCUUGGUCGUUGGUUCAAACCCAACAGGGGCCACCA